UAUUUUGAAUAACUAUUGUAGCUACAUUAUAUUGAUUUCUUUUUCGGCGCAUUCUUGCAACUACUUUUGUUAUGCCCUUCACCUCCACAAUUGCCACAUGAAACCUUGUACUUCAUUGAGUUUAUUUCAUCAAUUUUUUUAUAUCAUUCCUUGUGAGGUCUACCUGGCUGCCUUUUAUCUCCAGCCGGUGGUUUUACUACAUCAUCCAAAAUAUGUUGUGGAACAUCCCAUUUGGCUUCAUCAGGAAGAGGAUUAACUGGCAAUUCAUAUGUAAGAAAAAGGCUCUUCGUUGUGUAAUACGGAGAGCAAUAGUUGUCUGGCCUUUUAUUCAUAUGCCUUAAUGCUGCCAAAGCAUGUGCACAUGGAAGUUCAUCAAGUUGGAAUUGUCCACAGCUACAUUUCUUGUUUU
rnacentral:lncRNA from 1 species